rnacentral:misc_RNA from 1 species
GAAAUGCGAUAAGUAAUGUGAAUUGCAGAAUUCAGUGAAUCAUCGAAUCUUUGAACGCACAUUGCGCCCGCCAGUAUUCUGGCGGGCAUGCCCGUUCGAGCGUCAUUACAACCCUCAGGCCCCCGGGCCUGGCGUUGGGGAUCGGCGGAAGCCCCCUGCGGGCACAACGCCGUCCCCCAAAUACAGUGGCGGUCCCGCCGCAGCUUCCAUUGCGUAGUAGCUAACACCUCGCAACUGGAGAGCGGCGCGGCCACGCCGUAAAACACCCAACUUCUGAAUGUUGACCUCGAAUCAGGUAGGAAUACCCGCUGAACUUGAGC